ensembl:lncRNA
AGAGCAUCUAAUACCCACACUUGUUAUAAAAGCUACAAUGCAAAUCCUAAAACAUUAGUGACCUCUGACUCACAGAUUGUUGUCAGUGGUUUGAUUUUAAAGUACAGCUGUAACAAUUGGACAGAUCAAUAUGAUGGGAAAGGCGUUAGAACAAAAGUGUGAUGACAGAAGAACAGGCACAAGAGAGAAGUGCUAUAAAGGAAGGGAAGAAGAUUGCUCACCCAUAUCAGAAGAAUCCAAAGGUGCAGCCAGGUUCCAUCCCUUCCAGUCACACAGCUGAAUUGCCUUCACUGUGCUCCCAGGGCUGACCGGGUCCUUUCCCCAGGUGCUCCAUCAGUGGUUCAGGCUGAGACUCAACAGUUACCAUACAAUUGCCAAGGAAAAAAAAAAAAAAGGUAGAGCUCAAACGUCAUUGUAGCAGAUGUAAUUUUAUACCUGAGGAUUCCUCCCCACAAACCACUUCAUACUAAAUCUUUAGCAGCUGCUUACAGACAGACACACACACACACACACACACACAGGUAGUUUGAGAGAAAAAAAAUCAAAUGUACUUUAAAAAAAAUGACCACAGAAAAACACCCAAAGCAAGCAACCAACCAAACACUAACCCUAAAAUCUUCAGGGCAAUUCAGUCUGACACCAUUGAAUGGUAUCUCAAAUUCUUUGAAAGACUCUCCAGAAGAGCUCAGGUGUCUUGUCUGUAGGAGGGGGCUUUUUGCUAAAUAAUUUUCCAUACAUCAAAUGGCUUACUUGAAAAAGAAGCACCUUCUCAGCAGAGGGUAGAGAGUCAUGUAAGACCUUUCACCUGGGGAAGCUUCACAGAACUAUUUCACAAAAGGCCAUCACUCAAGAGCAUAGAACUUAAGCGGCUGUUCACUAUCUGAAAAGAAACCCAUAUCCUUGACUUAAGUUAGAAGGUGGGAGGAGACAUUUUGCAUAUGCGAUAGCUCUAUAUGCACAAUAGCAUGUCAGUUUAGAGGUGACAGGAAGCUUAGGGUCCACCUUGACCUGGUAGUACACAUACAUGUUAAUAAAUAAAAA